rnacentral:rRNA from 1 species
CCUACGGGAGACAGCAGUGGGGGAUAUUGCACAAUGGGGGGAACCCUGAUGCAGCGACGCCGCGUGGGUGAAGAAGGGCCUCGGCGCGUAAAGCCCUGUCAGGAGGGAAGAAAAUGACGGUACCUGAAGAAGAAGGCCCGGCUAACGACGUGCAAGCAGCCGCGGGACUACGCAGGGGGCAAGCGUUAUCCGGAUUUACUGGGUGUACAGGGGGCGAAGACGGCGAGGCAAGCCAGGAGUGAAAGCCCGGGGCCCAACACCGGGACUGCUCUUGGAACUGCGUGGCUGGAGUGCAGGAGGGGCAGGCGGAAUUCCUGGUGUAGCGGUCAAAUGCGUAGAUAUCAGGAGGACCACCGGUGGCGACGGCGGCCUGCUGGACUGCACCUGACGUUGUGGCCC